ACCUUCCUUACUUUGAUCUGAAUAGAUUUGUGUAUAUAGUAGCAUUUUUUUAUCGUUACUUCUCCCAGUUCCUUACUGUCUACAAUACAGUGUAUUAAUAGCAGUCAAUUUCAUAUUUUAGUACUUACAUUUCAGAAUAUCAAAAGGGGAAUGUGACUCAACUAGAAGAUAAAUGAACAUCAGUUUGAAAUAGAUGAAGAAAAUUCAUAUAGUCUUUUGGGGAGAGGGCUAGCAAGUUUUUGGUUUUGUGAGGGAUAAUUGCCUUAUGUUAGGUGAAAGUAUGGGUUUGUUACUGUCUUUAUUUAGAAAUUCAGUAUGGCUCAAAGAGGUGUAAUUGGAAGCCAGCUAAAAAAGGGGUUGACUGUGAUGGGUUUGUAUUCUCUCAAUAGCAAAUCUGCAGCUACAUUUCUAAGAAACCCCUUCACUGAAGAGUUCCAAGUUACUGGAACAGACUUGGAACAAAAGGAGUUUGGCAUGAAUUUUGAAAGGUCUACUGAGUCAAAAGGCAGUCAGAUAUGCAAUGCUGGAGUCCUUCAUCAGAGCUGUAAAUGGCACUUGUGACAAAAAUCAAAGUAACUAAAAAAGAAUCUGGUUGGAACCUCAGUAACAACUGGCCUGUCUACUGCCUCACACUAACAAGGGGAAGCUAAUAAAACACAGGCCAGAGCACACUAUGUGGAAAUGAAAACCUUAUUCUUGUCAAUGGAUGGAGGGUGGGUAAGUGCCUGGGUAACAGCCUGUUUCUUCCUAUCUGCUCCUAUUGUGGCAGGCAAGAGAGCUUGUGCAGGGGAACUCCCACUGAUAAAACCAUCAGAUCUUGUGAGACUUAUUCA